rnacentral:lncRNA from 1 species
UCUGCUGCUCACAACCACAAAAAGACACAAAGAUGAUGACUGCUGUUUUUCUCAGUAGAAACUGACAUCAAGCAUGAAGUUAGUGCGGACGAUUCAUCUAGACAGUUGCGUUCCACCUCUGAACUCCCUGAUCCUCAAGAUGUUGAAACCAGCUGCAGUGAAACGCUUCCAUGGCCAGAAUCUCUCUGCAUUAGUACCAGUUCUUCUCCGGAUGCAGCAAGAGCUGCUGAUGCAGUGUCUUCUGAUGAUUGCCCUGCGACUCCAGACUCGCUCAGUAAUGACCAGCACGAUUCAGACAAAGCAAGGUAAUGCAUCAGUACUGUUUCUCUCUCAACUGUGAUUUCAUUUUGCAUGUUUCUUGGCCAAACCUGUUAGGCUUUGGUUACUGCUGUGUUUAUAUUCUUCCUUGUAGUUUCACAGAGCAGGUGAUGGAUGUUCGGACAGAAAUGUGCACCAAUGGAGAGAUCCAUCAAGUUCCUAAAUCACAGGAUCUUCAGAACAAAGCUGACAGACCCAAUAAACCACGGGCUGCAACCAUUCGUGUGAGCAGGAAGAAGCAGACGUUAUCAGGGCAGCGCCAGAGAGCCGACGUGUCUCGCAGUGAGUGUGCGGUGGCACAAUCCAGCUGGCUCGACGUAUGGAAGGGACGCAAGCACAAUGUUCUGUGGGCCACUCUAGAUGGACAUGCCAUGUCACUGUGGAAAAAGCGCACAGUGAGUUGUUUCAUAAUGGCAUUACAUUUAAUACAAAUAAAGUAUACAUUGCAAAUACUUA